AGCGAACGCUGGCGGCAGGCCUAACACAUGCAAGUCGAACGAAGCCUUCGGGCUUAGUGGCGGACGGGUGAGUAACACGUGGGAACGUACCUUUUGGUUCGGAACAACUCAGGGAAACGUGAGCUAGUACCGGAUGAGCCCUUAGGGGGAAAUAUUUAUCGCCGAAAGAGCGGCCCGCGUUAGAUUAGCUAGUUGGGGAGGUAAAGGCGCACCAAGGCAACGAUCUAUAGCUGGUCUGAGAGGAUGAUCAGCCACACUGGGACUGGGACACGGCCCAGACUCCUACGGGAGGCAGCAGUGGGGAAUCUUGCGCAAUGGGCGAAAGCCUGACGCAGCCAUGCCGCGUGAAUGAUGAAGGUCUUAGGAUUGUAAAAUUCUUUUACCAGGGACGAUAAUGACGGUACCUGGAGAAAAAGCCCCGGCUAACUUCGUGCCAGCAGCCGCCGUAACAC
rnacentral:rRNA from 1 species